AUGGCCAUGGACCAAGCUCUGCCAGACCUUCUCUCGCGACUUCCGGCCUUCCUCUCGACCAGAUCGACAACGGGAUGCCCAGAUCUGACACGACGCCGUUCGUUUCCGCCUUGCCUAGCCGCACUGAGCAUCCGAACCACCUCCCCAGACAGCGCCGCCAUCGUCGCCAAGGCGGCGCCGGUCUCGGCCACGGCGCAGGAGGUGCCGUCGUCACCCUCCAUGUCGUCAUCUGGCUGGGCCGUCGAGGAUCUCCUGCAGUUCUCCCUACGGGCACCGUCAAGGGCACUGAUCGUCUAUCACAAAUCAAUCAGGGAUAAAAAAAGUGAGGUGCAACUCAAGCGAAUAAACAGUAGAAGAAUGAAGAAGUAA
rnacentral:rRNA from 1 species